AACGAACGCUGGCGGCAUGCCUAACACAUGCAAGUCGAACGAGACCUUCGGGUCUAGUGGCGCACGGGUGCGUAACACGUGGGAAUCUGCCCUUUGCUUCGGAAUAACAGUUAGAAAUGACUGCUAAUACCGGAUGAUGUCGAAAGACCAAAGAUUUAUCGGCAAAGGAUGAGCCCGCGUAGGAUUAGGUAGUUGGUGGGGUAAAGGCCUACCAAGCCGACGAUCCUUAGCUGGUCUGAGAGGAUGAUCAGCCACACUGGGACUGAGACACGGCCCAGACUCCUACGGGAGGCAGCAGUGGGGAAUAUUGGACAAUGGGCGAAGGCCUGAUCCAGCAAUGCCGCGUGAGUGAUGAAGGCAUUAGGGUUGUAAAGCUCUUUUAACAGGGAUGAUAAUGACAGUACCUGGAGAAUAAGCUCCGGCUAACUCCGUG
rnacentral:rRNA from 1 species